UGCUUCCUACGGGACGCAGCAGUAGGGAAUAUUGCUCAAUGGGGGAAACCCUGAUGCAGCGACGCCGCGUGGGUGAAGAAGCGCCUCGGCGCGUAAAGCCCUGUCAGCAGGGAAGAAAAUGACGGUACCUGAAGAAGAAGCCCCGGCUAACUACGUGCCAGCAGCCGCGGUAAUACGUAGGGGGCAAGCGUUAUCCGGAUUUACUGGGUGUAAAGGGGGCGCAGACGGCGAUGCAAGCCAGGAGUGAAAGCCCGGGGCCCAACCCCGGGACUGCUCUUGGAACUGCGUGGCUGGAGGGCAGGAGG
rnacentral:rRNA from 1 species